rnacentral:rRNA from 1 species
AUUGAACGCUGGCGGCAGGCCUAACACAUGCAAGUCGAGCGAGAGGCGGACGGGGGAGUAAUGUCUGGGAAACUGCCUGAAGGAGGGGGAGAAAAACUGGAAACGGUAGCGAAUACAGCACACCAUCAGAUGUGCCCAGGUGGGAUUAGCUCGAGGGUGGGGUAACGGCUCACCUAGGCGACGAUCCCUAGCUGGUCUGAGAGGGUGACCAGCCACACUGGAACUGAGACACGGUCCAGACUCCUACGGGAGGCAGCAGUGGGGAAUAUUGCACAAUGGGCGCAAGCCUGAUGCAGCCAUGCCGCGUGUGUGAAGAAGGCCUUCGGGUUGUAAAGCACUUUCAGCAGGGAAGCGUUACCCGCAGAAGAAGCACCGGCUAACUCCGUGCCAGCAGCCGCGGUACUAC